rnacentral:rRNA from 1 species
GAUGAACGCUAGCUACAGGCUUAACACAUGCAAGUCGAGGGGCAGCAUUUCAGUUUGCUUGCAAACUGGAGAUGGCGACCGGCGCACGGGUGAGUAACACGUAUCCAACCUGCCGAUAACUCGGGGAUAGCCUUUCGAAAGAAAGAUUAAUACCCGAUGGUAUAAUCAGACCGCAUGGUCUUGUUAUUAAAGAAUUUCGGUUAUCGAUGGGGAUGCGUUCCAUUAGGCAGUUGGUGAGGUAACGGCUCACCAAACCUUCGAUGGAUAGGGGUUCUGAGAGGAAGGUCCCCCACAUUGGAACUGAGACACGGUCCAAACUCCUACGGGAGGCAGCAGUGAGGAAUAUUGGUCAAUGGGCGCAGGCCUGAACCAGCCAAGUAGCGUGAAGGACGACUGCCCUAUGGGUUGUAAACUUCUUUUAUAUGGGAAUAAAGUUUUCCACGUGUGGAAUUUUGUAUGUACCAUAUGAAUAAGGAUCGGCUAACUCCGUGCCAGCAGCCGCGGUAAUACGGAGGAUCCGAGCGUUAUCCGGAUUUAUUGGGUUUAAAGGGAGCGUAGGUGGACAGUUAAGUCAGUUGUGAAAGUUUGCGGCUCAACCGUAAAAUUGCAGUUGAUACUGGCUGUCUUGAGUACAGUAGAGGUGGGCGGAAUUCGUGGUGUAGCGGUGAAAUGCUUAGAUAUCACGAAGAACUCCGAUUGCGAAGGCAGCUCACUGGACUGCAACUGACACUGAUGCUCGAAAGUGUGGGUAUCAAACAGGAUUAGAUACCCUGGUAGUCCACACAGUAAACGAUGAAUACUCGCUGUUUGCGAUAUACAGUAAGCGGCCAAGCGAAAGCAUUAAGUAUUCCACCUGGGGAGUACGCCGGCAACGGUGAAACUCAAAGGAAUUGACGGGGGCCCGCACAAGCGGAGGAACAUGUGGUUUAAUUCGAUGAUACGCGAGGAACCUUACCCGGGCUUAAAUUGCAUUUGAAUAUAUUGGAAACAGUAUAGCCGUAAGGCAAAUGUGAAGGUGCUGCAUGGUUGUCGUCAGCUCGUGCCGUGAGGUGUCGGCUUAAGUGCCAUAACGAGCGCAACCCUUAUCUUUAGUUACUAACAGGUCAUGCUGAGGACUCUAGAGAGACUGCCGUCGUAAGAUGUGAGGAAGGUGGGGAUGACGUCAAAUCAGCACGGCCCUUACGUCCGGGGCUACACACGUGUUACAAUGGGGGGUACAGAAGGCAGCUACCUGGUGACAGGAUGCUAAUCCCAAAAGCCUCUCUCAGUUCGGAUCGAAGUCUGCAACCCGACUUCGUGAAGCUGGAUUCGCUAGUAAUCGCGCAUCAGCCAUGGCGCGGUGAAUACGUUCCCGGGCCU